AGUGCUUAAAGCAGGCAACUGCCUUGAAUACUCCAGCAUGGAAUAAUAAGUAAGGACUUUUGUCUUUCUUAUUGGUUCUAGGACAAAAGUAAUGGUUAAUAGGGACAGUUGGGGGCAUUCGUAUUUAACAGCCAGAGGUGAAAUUCUUAGAUUUGUUAAAGACGAACUACUGCGAAAGCAUUUGCCAAGGAUGUUUUCAUUAAUCAAGAACGAAAGUUAGGGGAUCGAAGACGAUCAGAUACNGUCGUAGUCUUAACCAUAAACUAUGCCGACUAGAGAUUGGAGGUUGUUCCUUACUCCUUCAGCACCUUAUGAGAAAUCAAAGUCUUUGGGUUCUAGGGGGAGUAUGGUCGCAAGGCUGAAACUUAAAGGAAUUGACGGAAGGGCACCACCAGGAGUGGAGCCUGCGGCUUAAUUUGACUCAACACGGGAAAACUCACCAGGUCCAGACAUAGGAAGGAUUGACAGAUUGAUAGCUCCUUCUUGAUUCUAUGGGCGGCUNNUGCAUGGCCGUUCUUAGUUGGUGGAGUGAUUUGUCUGGUUAAUUCCGUUAACG
rnacentral:rRNA from 1 species